UGAGGAAUUUUGGACAAUGGGGGCAACCCUGAUCCAGCAACGCCGCGUGAAGGACGAAGGUCUUCGGAUUGUAAACUUCUUUUAUUUGGGACUAAUAAAGCCUUGGAAACAGGGAGAUUGAAGGUACCAGAUGAAUAAGCCACGGCUAACUUCGUGCCAGCAGCCGCGGUAAUACGAAGGUGGCAAGCGUUACUCGGAAUUACUAGGCGUAAAGGGCAGGUAGGUGGUUUGGUAAGUCUGUCGUUAAAACGUUCGGCUCAACCGGACGAGGUCGAUGGAUACUGCCAGGCUUGAGUAUGGGAGAGGGUACUGGAAUUCCCGGUGUAGCGGUGAAAUGCGCAGAGAUCGGGAGGAACACCAAUGGCGAAAGCAGGUACCUGGACCAUUACUGACACUCAACUGCGAAAGCUAGGGGAGCAAACA
rnacentral:rRNA from 1 species